rnacentral:rRNA from 1 species
GACAGAGGGUGCAAACGUUGUUCGGAAUUACUGGGCGUAAAGCGCGUGUAGGCGGCUUGGCAAGUCGGGUGUGAAAGCCCUGGGCUCAACCUAGGAAGUGCACUCGAAACUGCCUCGCUGGAGUGCCGGAGAGGAAAGCGGAAUUCUCGGUGUAGAGGUGAAAUUCGUAGAUAUCGAGAGGAACACCGGUGGCGAAGGCGGCUUUCUGGACGGAUACUGACGCUGAGACGCGAAAGCGUGGGGAGCAAACAGG